rnacentral:rRNA from 1 species
AGUGAACGCUGGCGGUAGGCCUAACACAUGCAAGUCGAACGGCAGCACAGUAAGAGCUUGCUCUUACGGGUGGCGAGUGGCGGACGGGUGAGGAAUACAUCGGAAUCUACUUUUUCGUGGGGGAUAACGUAGGGAAACUUACGCUAAUACCGCAUACGACCUACGGGUGAAAGCAGGGGAUCUUCGGACCUUGCGCGAAUGAAUGAGCCGAUGUCGGAUUAGCUAGUUGGCGGGGUAAAGGCCCACCAAGGCGACGAUCCGUAGCUGGUCUGAGAGGAUGAUCAGCGACACUAGAACUGAGACACGGUCCAGACGCCUGAGGGAGGCAGCAGUGGGGAAUAUUGGACAGUGGGCGCAAGCCUGAUCCAGCCAGACCGCGUGGGUGAAGAAGGCGUUCGGGUUGUAAAGCCCUUUUGUUGGGAAAGAAAAGCAGCAGGUUAAUACCCCGCUGUUCUGACGGUACCCAAAGAAUAAGCACCGGCUAACUUCGUG